AGGGCGUAUGAAGUCAGUUGUAUUCGACCCGAAACCGGGUGACCUACCCAUGUCCAGGUUGAAGUGGGGGUAAAACCCCAUGGAGGACCGAACCGACUCCCGUUGAAAUGGUAGCGGAUGAGGUGUGGGUAGCGGAGAAAUUCCAAUCGAACCCGGAGAUAGCUGGUUCUCUCCGAAAUAGCUUUAGGGCUAGCCUCGUAUUAGAUUACCGGAGGUAAAGCACUGAAUGGUCUAGGGGCCGAAAGGCUACCGAAGCCUAUCAAACUCAGAAUGCCGGAUAAUUGAUGUACGGGAGUCAGACAGUGUGAGAUAAGUUUCAUUGUCGAAAGGGAAACAGCCCAGACCCACAGCUAAGGUCCCUAAACACGGUUAAGUGGCAAAGGAUGUGGGGUUGCUUAGACAACCAGGAUGUUGGCUCAGAAGCAGCCAUUCAUUAAAAGAGUGCGUAAUAGCUCACUGGUCGAGUGACCCUGCGCCGAAAAUUCAACGGGGCUGAAAUCGUGUACCGAAGCUUGGGAUGCUCAAAUAUUCUCCAUGCUUUCAGGAAGUUGAGAAGCGGAAUCCGGCGGCGCGGAAGCGCUGCGGAAAGCCUCUUUCCCGCACAGAAGCGGAAGAGGAAGGAAAAGGUUCCGGAUCAGCGGGCGCAAAGCGCCGCGAAAUUUCACAGUAAGGUUGAAAUGGAGCGCCGAUUGAAGGUUUGGAGAAUGUUUGAGCAUGGUAGGAGAGCGUUGAAUGAGAGUUGAAGUCGGAGCGGAAGCGCCGGUGGAUUUCAUUCAAGUGAGAAUGCCGGAAUGAGUAGCGAGAAAUAUGUGAGAAUCAUAUUGGCCGAAAGUCUAAGGAUUCUGGAGGAAGGUUCGUCCGCUCCAGGUAAGCCGGGAGCUAAGGUGAGGCCGAGAGGCGUAGCCGAUGCACAUACGGUUGACAUUCCGUAGCCGCAGAAGGAUUUAAGUAAGAUGACACCUGCAAAGGGCAUGACCCGGGCGUUGGUUGACCCGGGCGUAAGGGACCGAAAUCAAGUAGGGAAGCAUGCGCAGAGCAGGGCGAGAAAAGUCUUAUGGGAUAUCCGAUGCGCCCGUACCGCAAACCGACACAGGUAGACAGGAAGAAGAUUCCAAGGCCAACGGGAGAAGGGUAGUUAAGGAACUCGGCAAAUUGACCCCGUAACUUAGGGAGAAGGGGUGCCUCAGAAAUGAGGCCGCAGAGAAUAGGCCCAGGCGACUGUUUAGCAAAAACACAGGUCUCUGCCAAAUCGAAAGAUGACGUAUAGGGGCUGACACCUGCCCGGUGCUGGAAGGUUAAGAGGAGAUGUGCAAGCAUUGAAUUGAAGCCCCAGUAAACGGCGGCCGUAACUAUAACGGUCCUAAGGUAGCGAAAUUCCUUGUCGGGUAAGUUCCGACCCGCACGAAAGGUGUAACGAUCUGGGCACUGUCUCAAUUACCCGCCCGGCGAAAUUGUAGUACCGGUGAAGAUGCCGGUUACCCGCGACAAGACGGAAAGACCCCAUGGAGCUUUACUGUAGUUUAAUAUUGGGUUUCGGUAAUUUAUGUACAGGAUAGGUGGGAGACUGUGAAGCGGCGGCGCUAGCUGCCGUGGAGUCACCCUUGGGAUACCACCCUUAAGUUGCUGAAAUUCUAACCUGCGGCCGUGAAUCCGGCCGGGGGACAUUGUUAGACGGGCAGUUUGACUGGGGCGGUCGCCUCCAAAAGAGUAACGGAGGCGCUCAAAGGUCAGCUCAGCACGGACGGAAACCGUGCCAAAGAGUGUAAACGCGUAAGCUGGCCUGACUGCGAGGAUGACGGUCCGAGCAGAAACGAAAGUUGGAGUUAGUGAUCCGGCGGUAUGAGAGUGGAAUUGCCGUCGCUCAACGGAUAAAAGCUACCCUGGGGAUAACAGGCUGAUCUCCCCCAAGAGUCCACAUCGACGGGGAGGUUUGGCACCUCGAUGUCGGCUCAUCACAUCCUGGGGCUGUAUUCGGUCCCAAGGGUUCGGCUGUUCGCCGAUUAAAGUGGUACGCGAGCUGGGUUCAGAACGUCGUGAGACAGUUCGGUCCCUAUCUGUCGUGGGCGCAGGAUAUUUGAGGAGAGCUGUCCUUAGUACGAGAGGACCGGGAUGGACGCACCUCUGGCGCACCAGUUGUCAUGCCAAUGGCACAGCUGGGCAACUAUGUGCGGAUCGGAUAAACGCUGAAAGCAUCUAAGCGUGAAGCCGACUCCAAGAUUAGAUAUCCCACAGCAUAAGCUGGUAAGGCCCCUUGAAGACUACAAGGUUGAUAGGCUGCGUGUGUAAGCACGGUAACGUGUUCAGCUUGGCAGUACUAAUAGGCCGAGGGCUUGACCAU
rnacentral:rRNA from 1 species